GGGGUGCUCGAGCGGCGAACGGGUGAGUAACACGUGAGUAACCUGCCCUUGACUUUGGGAUAACUUCAGGAAACUGGGGCUAAUACCGGAUAGGAGCUCCUGCUGCAUGGUGGGGGUUGGAAAGUUUCGGCGGUUGGGGAUGGACUCGCGGCUUAUCAGCUUGUUGGUGGGGUAGUGGCUUACCAAGGCUUUGACGGGUAGCCGGCCUGAGAGGGUGACGGCCACAUUGGGACUGAGAUACGGCCCAG
rnacentral:rRNA from 1 species